rnacentral:rRNA from 1 species
UACAGAGGGUGCAAGCGUUAAUCGGAAUUACUGGGCGUAAAGCGUGCGUAGGCGGCCUGCUAAGUCGAACGUGAAAUCCCUGGGCUCAACCCAGGAACUGCGUCCGAUACUGGUUGGCUUGAAUCCGGGAGAGGGACGUGGGAUUCCAGGUGUAGCGGUGAAAUGCGUAGAUAUCUGGAGGAACACCGGUGGCGAAGGCGACGUCCUGGACCGGCAUUGACGCUGAGGCGCGAAAGCCAGGGGAGCAAACGGG